rnacentral:rRNA from 1 species
GGGGGCACAGCGGAAAAAUUUUCAUUCGGCAAACGCGAUAAGGGGACUUCGAGUGCGUGCGCAUUGCGUACGCUUUUCACUGCCUAAAAAGCAUGUGGAAUAAGGGCCGGGCAAGACCGGUGCCAGCCGCCGCGGUAACACCGGCGGCUCGAGUGGUGGCCGCUAUUAUUGGGCUUAAAGGGUCCGUAGCCGGACCAGUUAGUCCAUUGGGAAAUCUUACGGCUUAACCGUAAGGCUGUCCAAAGGAUACUUGCUGGCCUUUGGGAACCUGGGAGAGGCAAGGAACUCCAG